UGGCUCAGGAUGAACGCUAGCGGCAGGCUUAACACAUGCAAGUCGAGGGGCAGCGCGAUGUAGCAAUACAUUGGCGGCGACCGGCGCACGGGUGCGUAACACGUAUGGAACUUACCCUUUACUGGGAGAUAGCCCGGAGAAAUCCGGAUUAAUAUCCCAUAAUAAACGAGGUGGCAUCACUUUGUUUUGAAAGCUCCGGCGGUAAAGGAUGGCCAUGCGCACGAUUAGCUAGUAGGUGAGGUAACGGCUCACCUAGGCUACGAUCGUUAGGGGGCCUGAGAGGGUUAUCCCCCACACUGGUACUGAGACACGGACCAGACUCCUACGGGAGGCAGCAGUGGGGAAUUUUGGACAAUGGGCGCAAGCCUGAUCCAGCAAUGCCGCGUGAGUGAAGAAGGCCUUCGGGUUGUAAAGCUCUUUCAGUCGAGAAGAAAAGGCUGCAGUGAAUAACUGUAGUUUAUGACGGUAUCGACAGAAGAAGCACCGGCUAACUACGUG
rnacentral:rRNA from 1 species